rnacentral:rRNA from 1 species
GACGGAGGGUGCAAGCGUUGCUCGGAAUCACUGGGCGUAAAGGGUGCGUAGGCGGUCUCGCAAGUCUGGCGUGAAAGCCCAAGGCUCAGCCUUGGAAGUGCGCUCGAAACUGCGAGGCUGGAGUGCCGGAGGGGAGAGUGGAAUUCCCGGUGUAGCGGUGAAAUGCGUAGAGAUCGGGAGGAAUACCGGUGGCGAAAGCGACUCUCUGGACGGCAACUGACGCUGAGGCACGAAAGCGUGGGGAGCAAACAGGAUUAGAUACCCUGGUAGUCCACGCCGUAAACGAUGGACACUAGGUGUCGGGGGUAUCCACUCCCUCGGUGCCGCCGCUAACGCAGUAAGUGUCCCGCCUGGGAAGUACGGUCGCAAGAUUAAA